rnacentral:rRNA from 1 species
CACGUCCUUUUGAUAAUAAUUUAAGGUCUGAUCUGCUCAAUGAUAAUUAAAUUGCCGCAGUAUUUUGACUGUGCAAAGGUAGCAUAAUAAUUAGUUUCUUAAUUAGAAACUGGAAUGAAUGAUUGGACAAGAAAAUUUCUGUCUCUUUUUUAAUUUUUUUGAAUUUUAUUUUUAAGUGAAAAAGCUUAAAUAUUUAUAAAAGACGAGAAGACCCUAUAGAGUUUGAUAUUUUUGCAUAAUUUAAUAUUAGAAUUAUUUUUUGGGCAGAUUUAUUUAGUUGGGGUGAUUUGAAGAUUAAAAAAAUUCUUUAAAAGUUAAAUUGAUGAUUCUUAAAUUUUAAAUCUAUAGUUUAUAAAACUAAAAUUAAUUACCUUAGGGAUAACAGCGUAAUUUUUCUUAAAAGUUCAUAUUAAAAGGAAAGUUUGCGACCUCGAUGUUGGAUUAAAAUAAAUUUUUGGUGCAAUAACUUAAAAAUUAGGUCUGUUCGACCUUUAAAAUUUUACAUGAUCUGAGUUUAAACCGGUGUAAACCAGGUUGGAUUCUAUCUUUAGAAAGUUAAUAUAUUUUAGUACGAAAGGACCAAAUAUGUAUUAAAUUAAUUG